UACGUAGGGUGCGAGCGUUGUCCGGAAUUAUUGGGCGUAAAGGGCUCGUAGGCGGUUUGUCGCGUCGGGAGUGAAAUCCACUGGCUUAACUGGUGGCUUGCUUUCGAUACGGGCAGACUGGAGGUAUGCAGGGGAGAACGGAAUUCCUGGUGUAGCGGUGAAAUGCGCAGAUAUCAGGAGGAACACCGGUGGCGAAGGCGGCCAACUGGACGAACACUGACGCUGAGACUCGAAAGCGUGGGGAGCAAACAGG
rnacentral:rRNA from 1 species